rnacentral:rRNA from 1 species
CUAGCUGGUUCUCCCCGAAAUGCGUUGAGGCGCAGUAGUUGACUGGACAUCUAGGGGUAAAGCACUGUUUCGAUGCGGGUGCCGUCCAUGGAUCAAAUUAUUUCGUGGAUUGGAUUUUACUUGCCUGUCUACGGUUCCCUUGCAUCCCUCACAAAUUGAAAAUACUAAUUUGUUAAGAAUCAAUCGAACUGAAGUCAUAGUGUCAUCAUUGGAUGGAAUCGAUAUAUUCGCGAGAUCCAGGUCACAAUUUGUAUAAAC